UAGGGAAUCUUGCGCAAUGGGCGAAAGCCUGACGCAGCGACACCGUGUGAAGGAUGAAGGUCUUCGGAUUGUAAACUUCUGUCAAUUGGAGACGAAGGUAACAGGGUUAAUAGCCUCUGUUACUGACGGUAUUCAAUAAGGAAGUCUCGGCUAACUCCGUGCCAGCAGCCGCGGUAAGACGGAGGAGGCAAGCGUUGUCCGGAAUUAUUGGGCGUAAAGAGCGCGUAGGUGGUUUUUCAAGUCAUGUGUGAAAACUUCAGGCUCAACUUGAAGAUUGCACAUGAAACUGGAUAACUUGAGUACAGCAGAGGAAAGUGGAAUUCCUGGUGUAGCGGUGAAAUGCGCAGAUAUCAGGAGGAACACCGGUGGCGAAGGCGGCUUUCUGGGCUGUCACUGACGCUGAGGCGCGAAAGCCAGGGGAGCAAACAGG
rnacentral:rRNA from 1 species